rnacentral:rRNA from 1 species
GAAAAUUACAAGCAUAAGCUCAAAACUCAAAGGACUUGGCGGCGCUUUAGACCCACCUAGAGGAGCCUGUCCUACAACCGAUAACCCCCGUUAAACCUUACCUUCUUUUGCUUUCAGUUUAUAUACCGCCGUCGUCAGCUUACCCUCUAAGGGCUAUCCUAGUAAGCAAGUUCGGUUUCAAACCCCAGACGUCAGGUCGAGGUGUAGCAUAUAAGAAGAGAAGAGAUGGGCUACAUUUCCUUUACAGGACCUACGAAUAAUGUUUUGAAAUAAACAUAUUGAAGCAGGAUUUAGCAGUAAGUAAAAAAUAGAGUGUUUU